rnacentral:misc_RNA from 1 species
UCUCCGUUGGUGAACCGGCGGAGGGAUCAUUACAGGACUCGCAAGACUCCUACAACCCUGUGAACUUAACUAUAAGCACGUUGCUUCGGCGGGUGUCUCGGAGGGGGUUCUCCCUCCCCGAGACGCUAAACCCGCCGGCAGCCUACUAUACUCUGUCUCUUUGCGUUGGCAUCUCGAGUACAAUCAAACAAGUUAAAACUUUCAACAACGGAUCUCUUGGUUCUG